AAACGUGCAUGUAUAUAUAUAUAUACACAUGUAUGAAAAUUCUCAUUGAAACACAGUGCGAUAUGUCAACUGAUUCUGCUGCUACAUUGGCAUCUCCACAUCAUCGUUCUAAUUCUCCUAAAAAAAGAAGACUAUCUGAAUAUAAUGUUGAUGAUUUAUCUACCAGUGAUUUUAAGAACUUUAUGGUAAAAAGUAUUAUAAUAUUAUUAAGAAGAACAAAAUGUCUUUAAGAUAAAAUAAACAAAUAGGAAGCUCGAGAAGAGCAAGCAGUAAACGAAAAAAAUAUCGAAGAAGAAUUCACAUUUCCUCUCGAGAAUGAAGAUCAAUUAGUAGAGUUUGAAACAAAAUUAAAAAACCCUAUAUUUUUCCAGAAAAUGACAAUCGGAAGGCAAUUUGGCAACUACACUACAUUACAAUAUUUUUAAAUCAAUUGAUUUCUUCCUUGAAAAUAAUUGGUGAAAGCAAAGUAAAUUUAGCAAAUGCAAUUCUUAGCAAAUUAAUUGCAGAUACGCUUGCCACAAAAUAUAGUUGGUAUGGAAAAAAAGGAAAAAAGGCCUUCAUGGAACUAUUGACAUCAAAGUUGAUUAUAAAAACUGUACAUAUGAUUCAGACACAAUGUACUGACACACAAAUAACAGAAGCUGCCUCAAUAUGGCUUGCUCAAGCACCAACACGUUUGAAACGUGUUGAAGCCAAGAAACAACAACGAGAACUUUUCGAAAACCGUAUAUUAGAACAAUAUAAAAAUAAUACCAUUAAUUAAGAAUUUAAAAAAAUUUAGGUGUUGACUCCGUAAUAAGUGUUACAAAUAAAAAUAAGACAAGUUUUCUUUUACAGUCAUAGAUUGUAUUUAGUCUUGUUAUAGACUCAAAUUUAUAUGUAACCUUAAAAUAUACCCAGCAAACAAUU